rnacentral:tRNA from 1 species
GGCUCAGUGGUAGAGCGCUUGCCUUGCAUGCAUGAGGCCUUGGGUUCAAUUCCUCA